AUGAAGGCAGGAGUCAGAACAAAGCAAAACAAAAUUGAAAGCACAACGAAGCAAAACCCACAGCAUGAAAUAAGCAAUUUGAGCUGACGAAAAAGGUAAAAGGCACAAGAAAACCUUGAAGAUCGAAGAAUAUAAAGCCCACAUUAAGAAAGAAGAGAACGAAAAUUAUUGAAGCAGAAAAGAAAGAUCGAAGAAAGUAAGAGCAAAUAAAAAGUUGUAAUCAGGUUAGAACACUCACCCUAUCUCUAUAUCGGUUCUUGCACUUUCCUCUAAAUUUUUGUAAAGCCCUAAUUGUCAAUUUGUUUCAGAUUUUUCUGUUCUAGACUUGAUUUAAAUUUAGAUAGGCUUCUAUGCAUGAAUAAUUUGUUUAUUUACUUUUUCACGGGCAUGCACACAUGAAUUGAUGAUUUGCAAAUAUAACUAAGAAAAUUCCACUGGGUGUUUAUAAAAUAUGAUUUAGAAGAUGUGUUGUUUGUUUACUAGUUUUGAUUUUAGGAAUUGAUGAUUUAAAGUUUUUAAAAAUUAUGUAUUGGUCCUUUUUUGUUAUAUAGUAGCACAUGGUUGGACAUGUUGCAUAAUUUAAUAUGUUUGAGCAUGAAAGUUCCUUAAUUUUUUCAAAAUUUUAUCCUUAUGGCAACAAAUUUUAAUUAUUUCAUGACAAGUUGACCUUAAUUAUUAAAAUUAUUUAUCAUUAGGAUGUGCUUUUGUGUGUGUCUUUAUGUGCCGGCUUUUAGUAAAUAAAUAAUUUUUUAAAUGCGGUAAUUGUGUUCAUUUGUUGUUUUGCAAGAUGUUAUUAAAGUAAUUGUAUCAUAUUUGUAUUUUGUUAUUUUUUGUGAUUUACUAAAUUAGGUUUAGUAGUAAUAAAAGUAUUAAUACUAUUACAAAUUGAAUGUGGUAGGCAGGUUUUUUUAUUUGUCUGAUUCGAUUACUACUGUGGUUAAAAGUUUUGUUAAGUGGGACAAGAAGGUGUUUGAUUGGUUCAGGUACGAAUACAUUGUCAUUUCAACUGUAAUCGUGUGGCUUUGUGACAUGUUACCUCAACUUUAAUGGUUCUUUGAAUACAAAUGUGUUGUUUGGUCUGUUAUUACUUUAUUUUGUGAGAACUACAUGCAUGACUGCUUUUAUAAUUUGGUUUAUGCUGGGAAUGGUGUACAAUACUAACAUUCCUUUGUUUAUUGACAAUUUUCUUUAUUUUCUUAUACGUUUACAUUUAUAUAAGUCUGGUUCAUGGAAAGAUAACCUCCAAAGUCAUAGGCCACAACACCAUAUACUAGAUUACUACUAGUUUGUUUUGUUAGUUGUAUAAUUAAUAGGAUUUUGCUAUUAAUAUGAAUUUAUUAUUAAUAUUUUGAAUUGUAUUGGUACAAAUAAAGCAUUUAAAACUUGAAUUAACAUGUAUAAUUAUAUUAAUAGGCAUUAUUGUUGAUAUGGAUAAAUCUUGGAUAUGGUCUGCUAGUCGAUUGUCUGCAGAAUAUGAAAAUGGAGUAGAAGAGUUCUUGAGAUUUGCUAUGGUUAAUUCCAAAAAUCAUAGGUUACUUAGAUAUCCUUGUACUGACUGUUGCAACAUGGAGUUUUAUGCUCUUGAACAGAUAAGGGAUCAUUUGUUCACAUACGAUUUUCUGCCAUCAUACGUAGUUUGGGAUAGGCAUGGAGAGGUUGAGCAAAAAACAACCUCCGUAAGUUGCCAUAACUAUUCCGAGAGUCAUCAAUUUAGAUUCAAAGUUCAAAGUAACAUUAAGGACAUGAUCCAUGAUGCUUACGAACAAUGUGAUAAUAAUCCUAAGAGUUUUAGGGAUGUACUUGAGGAUGCUGAGAAGCCAUUGUAUGUAGGUUUAAAAUAUUCUAGGUUGUCCGGGUUAAUGAAAUUGUAUAAUGUGAAAGGCAAGUAUGGGUUAUCUGAUCAAUGCUUCACAGCUUUGUUAGAAGUUCUUGCUGACAUGUUUCCAGAAAAUAACAACAUUCCUAAGUCAAUGUAUGAGGCAAAAACAAUAAUGAAAGUGUUGGGUUUAGAUUAUGAAAAAAUACAUGCUUGUAAGAAUGAUUGCAUUCUCUACCAAAAAGAGUAUGCAAAUCUAAACACAUGCCCUACUUGUAGAGAGUGUAGGUGGAAGAAAAAUAAAAAAGAUGUCAAAACAAGUAGUAAAUAAGUGCCUACAAAGGUGCUCUGGUACUUUCCUCCUAUUCCUAGGUUCAAAUGUAUAUUUCAAUCACCUCAAACUACCGAAAACUUAUCCUAGCAUGCUAAUCAUCAAAUUAAAGAUGACAACCUUCGCCAUUCAGCAAACUCCCCAGCAUGGCAUUUAGUUGACAACAAGUGGCUUGACUUUGGCCAAGAACCUGGAAAUCUGUGAUUAGCUCUCUCAACUGAUAGGAUUAAUCCACACAGCACACUUAGCACUACUUAUAGUUGUUGGCCAGUCAUGUUAGUCAUUUACAAUCUUCCGCCAUGGAUGUGCAUGAAAAGAAAAUUCAUCAUGCUGUCUUUAUUCAUAUCCGGGCCUAAACAACCUGGAAAUGAUCUAGAUGUUUACCUAGCACCCUUGAUUGAUGAUUUGAAAACCCUUUGGAAUGUUAUUAUAGAAACUUCUGAUGCUUAUAGAAAGGAAACAUUUAAUCUCUGAGCUAUGUUGUUGUGGACUAUUAGUGACUUUCCUGCAUAUGGGAACCUCUUCGGGUGUUCUGUUAAGGGCCAUUAUGCUUGUCCAGUUUGUGGCCCAAACAAGCGUUCAAUAUGUCUUACACAUAGCAGAAAGUGUGUAUAUUUAGGGCACCGUUGAUUUUUACCAAAUUACCACUCAUUUAGGUCACUUAAAAAGGUCUUUAAUAAUGAGAUAGAAAAUGAAGAACCUCCUAAAUAUUUAACUGGUGAAGAUAUUUUGAAAUUAGUGGAUGAUAUUGACUACAAAAGUGGAAAGCACAAAGGCAGCAAGCGAAAGCGUGAUGAUUGUGAUGAUGAUAGUAACAAACUGUUCAAAAGAAAAUCAAUUUUUUUUAUUUGGAAUAUUGGCAACAUUUGUUAGUUCGUCAUUUAUUAGAUGUGAUGCAUAUUGAGAAAAAUGUGUGUGAGAGCAUUUAUGGCACACUACUUCAUCAACCUGGAAAGACAAAAGAUGGGGUAAAGGCUAGAAAAGACCUUAUAGAAAUGAAAAUUAAGGAGAAAUUGGUUCCUGGUGAAAAUGAUAGAAGUACCAUACCUGCAGCACCUUCACCAUGAGUAAAUAAGAGAAAAUGAAAUUUUGUCAUAGUUUGUUAGAAACCAAAGUUCCAGAAGGUUAUUGUUCAAACUUUAGGAAUCUUGUUUCUACUAACGAUUGUCGGCUUUAAGGUCUUAAGUCUCACGACUGUCACACUUUGAUGCAACAACUAUUACCAUUAGCAAUCCGUGAUUGUUUACCGAAAAAUGUUAGAAAAGCUGUUAUUAGGAUGUGCUUUCACUUCAACUCAUUGUGUAGUAAGGUGCUGGACAAAAAAUCUCUUGACAAAUUAGAAAAAGAUCAUUUCGUCACUAUGUGCUUGUUUGAACAAUAUUUUCUACCCGCUUUUUUUGACAUAAUGGUCCAUUUGAUGGUAAUCUUGUUGACCAAGUCCGAUUAUAUGGACCGGUUCACUUUUGUUGGAUGUAUUCAUUUGAGAGAAACAUGAAAACGUUAAAGGGUUAUGUUCGUAACCACUAUCGGCCCGAGGGUUGCAUCGCGGAAUGCUAUGUUGCAGAGGAAGCACUUGAAUUUUGUGCUGAAUAUCUCUCAAACCAUGAUUUCAUUGGACUGCCACCUGAUUGUAUAGUUGAUUAUAUAAUUGAAAAGCCUUUAGGAGGGGGAGAUGUUAAGAUGGUUGACGCUGCACUACUAGAGCAAGCACAUCUAUGCAUUCUGGAAAACACCUUGGAGUUGCAAUCUUAUAUACUUUAAGUCAUAAAUUUUCAUUAGUAUUUACAUAAAUUUUUCAAAAUCUUAUCUAACAACAACUGACUUUUUCAGUAUUGACAUGGUAGGGAACAUAAGAUAUUCUUGUAAUCAAAAUUUCCAAAGCAAUCAUUGGUUAGAAAUUGAGCAUGUUCAUAGCUUUUCUUAUUGGUUACAAAUGAAGGUUAAGAUUUGACAAUUUUAUCCUUAAUAAUAGUGUUAAGUUUGUCAUUAGUAACUCUUAAUUUGUUCUCGAACUGUAGGUAACAAACAUGACAGCAAAUGGUUUAAAUGUUGAUGAAACUGUUAGGAUGUUGGCAAACAAACCUAGUUGCACUGUGAUUGCAUAUUCAGGGCACCUUAUAGGAUGUUGGCUAACAACGAGGGAUCGAGAUAGCAACCGUGUUACGCAAAACAGUGGGGUUAAUGUCUUAGCAAUAACCUUACAAGUCUCAAGCUCAAAGGAUAAAAAUUAUUUCACUGGUAUAAUAGAGUAUUAUGGGGUCCUUGUUGAAAUUUGGGAGCUGCAAUAUCUCAUGGUUAAGAAAGCUGUUUUUAAGUGUGAUUGGGUUGAUAGUAGAUGGGUUAAGGUUGAUGAUUUAGGUUUCACCGUUGUUGAUUUUAAUCAAGUUGGUCAUAAGUCUGAUUGCUUCAUUCUAGCUUCGCAUGCAAAGCAAGUGUUUUAUGUUCAAGACCAAGUAGAUCCAAAAAAAUCAAUUGUUUGUUCAGUGGGUCAAAUAGUUAAUAAAUCAAUAGGUGUUGAUGGGAGUAUUGAGAUGGUGAUACAUGAACCUUUAUGUAAAGAAUAUCCAUCCCCAAAAAUAGAUAUGGAUAAAGAUGAUGUUGGCAUAUAUGAAAGACCAGAGUGUGAUGAUGUUCCAAUUGAUGAUGCUUAGUAGGGGAAUGACAACUAUAGUAAGUUAUCUGAUUUCAGUGUCUUCAUUCUUUUGUAUAUGAACUGAAUGCAAGUUAUUUGAAGGUGUCAUAUGCUUCUUUUUCCAUACAUUGAAUUCAAUGUCUGUAUUUGUUUUGAUAUGGCAAGGUAAAUGUAAUAUCUCAUGCUGUCACAUGUCUUUUUUCUCUUGUAUUGAUUUCAGUCUUUUUAUUUGUUUGUAUAUGAAUUAGAUGCAAGUGUUGUGAAGCUGUCAUGUGUGUUUUUUUUUAAUAUUUUCCUUUAUUUAUAGAUUUGUUUAAAUGUAAGUUAUAAGGAUAUGUUUCAAUUAUUAAUUUGUGUAUUAUCUGUCAUAAUUUUAUAGAUAUGGCUGACAUUGAAGAACAAAAUAUGACAAAAUUUUCUAACUUGGAUGGGAGACCAAAGAGGAGAAAGCAUACAAAAAAGAAACAUUUGCUAAAAAGAUCAGCUGACGAUAAGGUUAUAGUGCAGUAUAACCAAUAUGGAGUUCCUGUUGGAGACGGAGCGAAUGAUCUUAGAAGUUACAUCGGUGUUCUUGUCCGAGAUAAUAUUUCAAUCUUGUAUGAUGAUUGGAGACAUGUUCCCCUAGAGAUUAAGGACAAACUUUGGGACCACUUACAGGUAAUCUGUCAUUUCUUAUUCACUUUUAUAGUUUAAUUCCUUUUUAUCUCUUUACUAAUAUUUAUAUUGUUUCUGCAUAUAUACUAGGACAGACAAAAUUUGAACUUGAUAUAAAGAGCAAAAAACAUGUGGUUCAAUCAAUGAGAAUUGCUUUAAGGAACUUCAGAUGUGCUUUAAACACAGAGUUUAUUCAACCUAACAAAGAUAAUCGCAGUCAAUUAAAGUUGCCUCCAUGGAAGUAUCCCAGAAAUAGAAAAUUGGAGUGGAAACAGUUUGUUGACAAGGUUCUUGGUCCUGAAUUUGAGUAAAAUAUUUUUCAACAAUGUUCAUUCUUUGUUACUUAGAAAACUCGUUUGUUUUAAUGUAUGAUGAUUGUUAUAAACUGUUUUUAUGAAGGAUAAAAGUAAUAAAGCAAAAAUGAUGCGUGAGCAAAUCAAGUACAACCAUCGUUUGGGUAGUACAGGUUAUAGUGGCAUGCUACACAGAAAGGUAUCAUAUGACAGCCUCCUCAAAUCAAUUUUGUCUAUAUAAUUCAGAAAUUUUAUUUUUAUCUCAUAAAAUUAAGCUCUCUUUUGUACUCGUUAAUAUGGAAUAGAAGGAUGAGAUUACAGUUUCUGAAAAAGAGCUUGACCGAAGUCAGUUGUGGUUGAUGGCCCGAAAAAACAAGGGUGGUUACGAACCUAAUGUAUUGCCAGUGGUAGAGAAAAUUGUGAGUGUUCAUUAUUUAUUACUUAGGUUUACUUCAAUAUGAGAUUUGCAUAUGUAUCUGUAUAUUUGAAUAGCAAUUUUUUUUAUUUUAAGGCUUGAAUUUGGAUGCGUAUUGUUGUAGGAUGAAUUAAAGAGUCAAGUCUACCAAGGGUCAUUUUAAAGUCAUGGGAUAAAUGACAUUCUGUCAGCAACCCUUGGGAAGCAGCCAAAUGGUAGUAGAGUCCAAGGACUGGGGAAGUCAAUCACCCCAACAAUGUAUUUUCAUAUACCCAAUACUGCAGACUUGUUUGAGCAAAGAAUGGCCAUUGAAAGAAAGGUAUAUGAAGAAAGGUUUCAGAUGAUGAUGGAGAUGAUGGAUGCAAAGCUAAAUGGCACUAGCCGUACAGAGAUUGGCAAUUGUAAGUUGUAACUAUGUUAACACUAAAUCUCCAACAAUUGGAGAUGAUGACAAGAAUGGUCAAUCAAAGGCAAAAAGAAAGGUUAUUAUCUUACCUUAAUUUACUUACUUUGUAUUACACCUAAUUUUUUAUUUUUUUCAACUAAUUAUUGUGUUGUGUUUACAUAUUCAAUAGGCUGCAGACAUUAUAGAGGAAGAUUCCCUAAAAAAUGGUCAAUCAACAGCUAAAACAAAGGUUAUUGUCUGACUUCUAUUUUUUUACUUUAUGUUACACUUAAUUAUUAUUUUAUUGAACUAAUUACUGUGUCAUUUUUACAUUUUGAAUAGGUUGCACAUAUGAUGGAGGCAGAUUCUUAUAAUGAAAGAAAAUUGGCAGAAACUCCUUCAGUUAAAAUUGAGAAGAAGACUCCAAGGAAUACUCCCAAAAGGACUCCAAAAAGGUCUCCUAUACUUAACCGAACUCCAAACCAGCAAAGGAAACAAGAAGACCCUGUUGUUUUCUGUCUUGGUUCUAAAGCUCCUCCUCCCAUGAAGCCAAAGGUGAUAAUAACAGCUACUAGUAGAAAACUAGUAAUGCAGAAGAACACUAGGCUAACUACGCAGGAGAGAAAGAAUAACGGUGCAGCAAUAAAAAUGUUCUCGGUUAUAGUUGAAAAUUUUUUACAAAAAGAAAUUUUGAUUAAGCAUGAUGAAUCCAUUUUUGGUUAUCAAACUGUAACCCUAUUGACGAAGGAUGUUUGUCAAGUGAUUAUUGAUUUUGCUGCAUUGCGGAAUGAAGUGAUUGACCUCUGGGCAAGGUAACUUGUUGUCUUAUAUUCUUACAUUAUAUAACUGUCAUGUUUUAUUCAUCAUAUACAAUGACGUUCAAUUAUUAAUAUUUUACCAUAUUAUAGGUAUUUACAUGAAUCAAUGGAGAAUGAUGAAGGGAUGUUUCCCGUUGGAUUUGGUCAGGUGAUGCUUAGUAGAGCCAAACCACAAGAGGAAUAUAUAAUUCAAAAGUCUCGGCACAUAUCUGAACUGUUUCGAGUAGCUCUACCUAGACAUAUUACAUUAAUCGUAUAUAAUCUAGGGUAAGGUCUUCUAGCUUUUUCCUACACUAAUAGGCAAUAAGUUGUUUUUAAUCCAUUAAAAUUUACUUUCCAUGACAUAACAACAUGCACUUUCUUUGCCAUUUUGUUUUAAUGUGUCUUGUAUUUGGUAUUGAGUUGGUGACUAAAAGGAUGAUUACAUAGAAUUCCAGUGAAGGCUAUUCAUAUGCAAUUUCACUUCAUUUAUUCUAAUUAUUUUUGUUGAUUGAGAUAAUCGAUUUAUCAGGCUACUAAUAUUACUAUUUAUGUGUUGAAUUGUAGCAAUCAUUGGGUGUUAGUUGCAAUUGAUAUGUUAGUCUCUACUAUCUAUUAUUUGGAUUCAGCAAUUGGAGAAAAGAUUGAUGUGAAUUUGGAGCAAAUAAUCAAUCAGUUAAGUUUCUGUAGACUUCUAUUUUAAUAUUUCAUAUUCCUUACUUAUUAAAUUAUGGUUAUUAUGUUGAUCUCUAUAUUCAUUGUGGUUAUUACCUUCAGAGGAGUUAUGAUGUAUCAUUCAAUCAAGUUCAAAACUAAGUUAAACCUGCAAUGGGUAAUUGUUCAAGUAAGGGCUUAUUACAUUUUUGUCUAGUUUGUUUCAAUUUGUAACUUAACUUUUUUAUGUUUUCAGUUGUGAAACUAAUUUUAUAAAUGUACAGUGCCCCCAACAAAUAGGUGGUUUUGAAUGUGGGUACUUCGUUAUGAAGUACAUGCAAGAUAUUGUGGGAAAUGUGAACAUUUUAAAGGAAAAUGUAAGUUUGAAAUCUUAUCUUUGUUACUUGGCUAUUUUCAACCAUGAACAUAUUAUUUACGACAUUAUUUUCAUUUCCUUAAUUGAAAUUUAAGGGGAUAACUGAGUAUUCAGAUGAGGAUCUUAUGAAGGUUCGAAAUGAGUGGGCUGCUUAUAUGGGUAACUUAAUCACUCAGUUAAGAAAAUAGGUACAUAUCAUUGUUGAAUAAAUAAAUUUUCUAUUAGCAAGCUUAUAUUAGAAUGAUAUUUAAUGUUGUUGUCUUUAUUUUUCCUUUAUACUUUCAGGGAAUGUUGCUGCU
rnacentral:lncRNA from 1 species